rnacentral:other from 1 species
UGAUUUCUGGGUUGUACGUUAAGACUGUAUAAUUCAACCUACAUUAUAACGCAGGGAGCCCGUAUAUCCGGUGCCUAUGUCAGGCCUCCCAAGAGGGGAAGACAGAAGCACGGACGAGAGCACCCACCUUAGGAAACUAGGGCGUGAAUUGACGGUCUGACGGCAAGCCGGAAUAGA